rnacentral:misc_RNA from 1 species
GACAGAGGUGGCGACCGUUGUUCGGAAUCACUGGGCAUAAAGCGCGUGUAGGCGGCAUGGUAAGUCGGGUGUGAAAUCCCUCGGCCCAACCGAGGAAUUGCGCCCGAAACUACCUUGCUUGAGGACCAGAGGGGAGCCUGGAAUUCCUGGUGGAGCGGUGAAAUGCGUUGAUAUCAGGAGGAACACCGGCGGCGAAGGCGAGGCUCUGGCUGGUUACUGACGCUGAGACGCGAAAGCUAGGGGAGCAAACGGG